rnacentral:rRNA from 1 species
CCAGACUCCUACGGGAGGCAGCAGUAGGGAAUCUUUCACAAUGGGCGAAAGCCUGAUGGAGCAACGCCGCGUGCAGGAUGAAGGCCUUCGGGUUGUAAACUGCUUUUAUAAGCGAGAAAUAUGAUGGUAACUUAUGAAUAAGCAUCGGCUAACUCCGUGCCAGCAGCCGCGGUAAUACGGAGGAUGCGAGCGUUAUCCGGAUUUAUUGGGUUUAAAGGGUGCGUAGGCGGGUUAUCAAGUCAGCGGUAAAAUCGUGGAGCUCAACUCCAUCCAGCCGUUGAAACUGAUGAUCUUGAGUGGGCGAGAAGUAUGCGGAAUGCGUGGUGUAGCGGUGAAAUGCAUAGAUAUCACGCAGAACUCCGAUUGCGAAGGCAACAUACCGGCGCCCAACUGACGCUGAAGCACGAAAGCGUGGGUAUCGAACAGGAUUAGAUACCCCCGUA